AUGUGCUCUCUCACACAGGCAUACACAUGUCAAACUGUGUCUCAGAAACACACCUACAUCCAUUGUCCUCUCACCUUUUUGUUGUUAAUUGUAUUUGUUUUUGUAGGACAAUCGUGCUUCUCGGCAAAGAGAUGGAUGCUGAGUGUGGACCGAAUUAUUCUACAGCCCAGUAUCACAUCAUUCAUAGCGGCCGUGUGUCUGACAUGUUUCUUUUCCAUCAAUCUGGAGAGGUGGACCAAGGUGGAGAAGACCAGCAAAUCCCACCUUCAUGUGAACCUGAGAGUUCUUACACUUAUACAAGACCUGUCUGACCAUGAAUGGUGCUCACACUAAGACUGUUCGAUGAGCCACCCUCUCUCUCUCAUCCACCCACAAACAUACAUACAUACAUAUAGACACAAACAUACACAAAAACAUGCAUUGCACACAUACAAACACACACACAUGUACAAGCAUGCAUACACAUACACGUGUGUGUAUGUGAGAUUGACAGAGUACAUAUGUCUGUGUAAGAGUGACUGUGUGCUCCGGGAUGUGAUUACCGGGUCUAUCAGGGAUAAUCCGCAGAUUGAAUGCACCUGCUGCUGCACCCCAAGUGCUUCCUUAAAAGAGCGUUAGCUGAUGCAUUUGGCAGAUUUUGGUUCUGGACAUUGGGUUUUUGGAUUUUGGUUGGAGUUUGGUUACUUUUAGCACCUUUUACACUGCACCAAGAGUACAUCACAAUGUAGCACUCUCUGCUAUACGCUGUUGCUUCCUGCAUAUGUCAGAAUCAAAGAAGGGAUGCACGGAAACAUAGAACUGAAUUGGAAAAGACUUUAUUUCAUUCUAAACAUAAUCCACUAAAAGAGAAGAAAAGAAACAACAAAACAUAAUAAUCUUCCUGCAACCGUCAGAAUCACUGUGUAGGUCAGGGUGCCUGAGUGCAACAUUGUAAUGUACUGUUGGUGCAGUGUAAAAGGUUCUAAAAGUAACCAAACUCCAAAAACCCAAAGUCCAGAACCCAGAUCUACCAAAGGCUUCAGCUAAGGAAACACUUGGGACACAGCAGCAGGUGCAUUCAAUCUGCGGAUUAUCGCUGUUAGACCCGCCAAUCACAUCCCGCAGGCUGAAGUACGGGGCCGCCAAAGAGGGGACAGACACACACACACACACACACACACACCCUUACACAGACAUAUGUACUCUCUCUCUCUCUCACACACACACACACGCACACACACACAUUAAUGACCUAUAGUAUGGUUCAUCUUUGAUGAUCCUCUCAAAAACAUACUCCCCUACAUGCAGUCAUAUGCACACACACACACACAGGGGGGGAGAGAGAGACUCACUCUUACACAGGCAUAUGUACUCUCUCACACACACACACAUGAUUCUGAUGCUCUUAUGAACCAAUGUUCUUAAGAUAAUGCUACGUUUGAUGGUUCUGUGGCAGUCUUGUGAUUACCGAAAGUUGGUCUUUGAUUCUUCAUUUAUGAUUCUUUGUUUAUGACAAUGUCACACACACAAUAUGUGUUUAUAUACACAAACUUAGACAAACUCACUUUCUCUCUCUCUCAAACACACACACACACACACACACACAGGCAUAUACUCUCUCACACGAAACAUGUUUGAUUCUGAUGCUGUGUUAACAUGUUUGAUUCUGAGUGAACCAAUGUUCUUGAGAGAGUACGUUUGACUGUUCUGUGGCAGACUUGUGGUUAACAAAAGUUGGGCUUUGUUUUUACAAUAAAGUCUGUG
ensembl:lncRNA